rnacentral:rRNA from 1 species
AUUGAACGCUGGCGGCAUGCUUUACACAUGCAAGUCGAACGGUAACAGGCCUUCGGGUGCUGACGAGUGGCGAACGGGUGAGUAAUGCAUCGGAACGUACCCAGAGGUGGGGGAUAACGCAGCGAAAGCUGUGCUAAUACCGCAUGUGAUCUGAGGAUGAAAGCGGGGGACCGAGCAGCAAUGUUUGGCCUCGCGCCUUUGGAGCGGCCGAUGUCGGAUUAGCUAGUUGGUGGGGUAAAGGCCUACCAAGGCGACGAUCCGUAGCUGGUCUGAGGGGACGACCAGCCACACGGGGACUGAGACACGGCCCAGACUCCUACGGGAGGCAGCAGUGGGGAAUUUUGGACAAUGGGCGCAAGCCUGAUCCAGCAAUGCCGCGUGCGGGAAGAAGGCCUUCGGGUUGUAAACCGCUUUUGGCAGGAACGAAACGGUGUCCGCUAAUACCGGGCGCUAAUGACGGUACCUGCAGAAUAAGCACCGGCUAACUACGUG